rnacentral:rRNA from 1 species
CCUACGGGCGGCUGCAGUGGGGGAUAUUGCACAAUGGGGGGAACCCUGAUGCAGCGACGCCGCGUGGGUGAAGGAGUGCUUCGGCAUGUAAAGCCCUAUCGGCAGGGAAGAAGCAAGACGGUACCUGACUAAGAAGCCCCGGCUAACUACGUGCCAGCAGCCGCGGUAAUACGUAGGGGGCGAGCGUUAUCCGGAUGCACUGGGUGUAAAGGGAGCGUAGACGGCGAUGCAAGCCAGGGGUGAAAGCCCGGGGCCCAACCCCGGGACUGCCCUUGGGACUGUGCGGCUAGAGUGCGGGAGGGGCAGGCGGAAUUCCUGGUGUAGCGGUGAAAUGCGUAGAUAUCAGGAGGAACACCGGCGGCGAAGGCGGCCUGCUGGAACGCGACUGACGUUGAGGCUCGAAAGCGUGGGGAGCGAACAGGAUUAGAUACCCGUGUAGUC